UAUACUUCGUCAUGGUCUCGGAUAUGAAUUUAGUGUUGGAAACAUGAUUAAGUCUAUUAAAUUGCUCUAUUUUGAGGCAAUGUUAACAGAUUUAUCACAAAUUGUGAAUGUUUUAUUCAACGGGGAUUUUUUCAUAAAAAAACUGCAAAAAGCGCUUAAAUAUUGCCUAUAUUCGUUCAUAUCCGCACUUUUCGUUCAUAUCCGCGGAUAUGAGUCAUAUACGUAUUUUAGACGACCGACAGCAUCAUCAAUCUAGUAAAUAACAACGCAACAACCCAUUCAUUUUAAUGCAUAGUGUAAUGUUCAAUUUCUGACUUCAAAAUGAGAUUGAAUAUCAAGUGGAAGGUGCUGAUUGGCAUUCUGAUACCAGUAGUGGUGUUGUACUUUCUUUUGCUAAACUCCCAUAGGCCAUCGUGACAUAGAAAUACUGUCAGACCCAGCGGGAAAAAAUUAACUGUCCAAAAAAUACUGUCGCCCACUAAGAAAAAUACCGGUACUGUUGCCCGCUACCUUAGAAAUCACGUGCGGAAUGUGACAAGACACACCACAGUUGUAAAGCUGCCAAUCAAGGAUGGCCUGCAUUGCAAUACAACACUAGGUCAGAGCCAUGAGAAAAACCUGGAGAAGAUUCGAACAUAUAUGUUCUCAAAAGCUGAACCAUACCUGAAAUCAUUAUUUGUGGAAGUUGAUGACAACAAGAUGCCAGACGUUCCAGUGUUUGUCACUGCAUUUUCUUCCAGCCAUUUCUCAGAAGGUCAGGACCUCAUAAAGAAUGUAAAUUCUGUUGCUAGGAAACAGUUUCCUUCUGCCAAGUUUUUCAUUUAUGACAUUGGUCUGUCAAGCUCACAUCAGAAACAGAUUCUUUCCGACUGUAAUUGUGAAAUAAAGCCAUUUGAUUUUACCAGUUUGCCGGCACAUGUCAGCAUAAUGAAAGGUUAUGCAUGGAAGCCUCUUGUCAUACAGUCUGCUGCUAAGCAGCACCCCUUUGUGGUAUGGAUGGAUGCAUCAGUACGUUUUACAACGAGGGACCUUAAAAAUGAGUUCAAAGAUGUUCAGCGAGUAGGGGUCAAGGCCUCUGAAGGUUAUGCUCCUAUAGCUGUAAGAACACAUCCAAACACAUUCAGAUUUUUACAGGAAGAAGCGUGUGCAUUUAAAGAGUUGAAUGAAUUUGAGGCUACAUUUAUUAUGAUAUAUGGAACCAAGUUUGUGUCGGAGUUUUUAUUGAGACCCUGGGUCUCUUGUGCUUUGGCUGAAGGGUGUUUGGUCCCUGACCAUAGUCCGUCAGAAUAUAUCAAUUGUGAUAAUCCAACUGUAUAUUUUGAUUGUCAUAGAUUUGAUCAGUCUGUUCUUAGUAUUUUGUUGCAUAGGAUGUAUAGUAAAGACAUCGAAGAGCAUAAAAUGAAGCAUGAAUUUUAUAAGUUUUGUAAAGGUGCUGAUGAAAUUCCAUUUGUUCCACAGUUUUUGAACAAAAUAUAUUCCCACUAUUAUGAAAAGUGUAUGUGAAGUAUUUGUUUUGGUUAUAUAUGGAAUUGUAAUAGAAGUUUUGUGUUUAUAUAUAUUCAAUUUGGUUGUUUCCGUUUACUCUGGUAGGAACAAUUAUUUAGUUGUGUAUUGUUUUAAUAGAUAUUACCCAGUAUAUAUUAUCGGAAAGAUAUUAUACAAAAUGAAAAUUAACAUGUUCUAAUGUUUGUUCUCAAUGACAGCAACAAAUUAAACGCAUACAUAGUAUGUUAUUUAUGCAGAUGAUUUUGAGUCUACACGUGGAAUGCUACAUUGCAUGUUUUAAAUACAGCUCAUGUGUCACAAUGUAGAAAGUCAUAUUGCAUGUUAUAAAUAUAGAUAAUGUUGUGUCACAAUGGGGACAUUCAUAUUGCAUGUUAUAAAUACAGAUUAUGUUGUGUCACAAUGCGGGCACAUUUAUAUUGCAUGUUAUAAAUACAGUUAAUGUUGUGUCACAAUGCGGGCACAUUUAUAUUGCAUGUUAUAAAUACAGAUAAUGUUGUGUCACAAUGUGGGCACAUUCAUAUUGCAUGUUAUAAAUACAGUUAAUGUUGUGUCACAAUGCGGGCACAUUCACAUUGCAUGUUAUAAAUACAGUUAAUGUUGUGUCACGAUGCGGGCACAUUCACAUUGCAUGUUAUAAAUACAGUUAAUGUUGUGUCACAAUGCGGGCACAUUCAUAUUGCAUGUUAUAAAUACAGAUAAUGUUGUGUCACAAUGCGGGCACAUUCACAUUGCAUGUUAUAAAUACAGUUAAUGUUGUGUCACAAUGCGGGCACAUUCAUAUUGCAUGUUAUAAAUACAGUUAAUGUUGUGUCACAAUGGGGACAUUCAUAUUGCAUGUUAUAAAUACAGUUAAUGUUGUGUCACAAUGCGGGCACAUUCACAUUGCAUGUUAUAAAUACAGUUAAUGUUGUGUCACAAUGCGGGCACAUUCAUAUUGCAUGUUAUAAAUACAGAUAAUGUUGUGUCACAAUGUGGGCACAUUCAUAUUGCAUGUUAUAAAUACAGUUAAUGUUGUGUCACAAUGCGGGCACAUUCACA